UGUGUGGCGCACACAUUAAAUCUGAUCGUGAAGAAGGCUCUGGCAGAAAACACUGAGCUGUCUGAGAUCCGUCUUCAGUGUAGGAGGAUAGUUGGCUACUUCAAAAGCAGUACCACUGCAAAGACAAGGCUGACACAGGUGCAGGAGCAAAUGAUGCCUACAGAGCCUGUGCUGAAGCUCAUUCAAGAGGUGGAGACACGCUGGAACAGCACCUUCCACAUGUUGCAACG